CGGCUGGAGCCGAGCUUCCUGAUACCUAGUGAGCCGCGGUGAUGACAAAUGAAAACAAUAAGCUGUUUCCUAGACAAACAGCUGCCUAGACAGUUUCGCUCUGUCGCCCAGGCUGGAGUGCAGUGGCACAAUCUCGGUUCACUGCAACCUCUGCCUCCCGGGUUCAAGCAGUUCUCUUGCCUCAGCCUCCCAAGUAACUGGUACUACAGUUUGUCCUCGGCUGUUACAGAGAAUUGAUACAAAAAAUGAUCAUGUGAAGAAUUUGCAUCUUCUGCAGAACUACCGGUAUCAGUCAGCAGUAGGAGAUUGCCAGACACGGUGGCUCACGCCUAUAAUCCUAGCACUUUGGGAGGCUGAGGUGUGUGGAUCACUUGAGCCCAGGAGUUCAAGACCAGCCUGAGCAACAUGGUGAAACCCCAUCUCUGCAAAAAAUACAAAAAUUAGCCAGGCGUGGUGGUGUGUACCUGUGGUCCCAGCUGCUGGGAAGGCUGAGGUGGGAGGAACAUUUGAGCCCAGAAGUUGAGCCGUGAUCACGCCACUGCACUCCAGCCUGGAUGACACAGCAAGACCUUGUCUCAAAAAAUAAAAUAAAAUAAAUUUUAAAAAA
rnacentral:lncRNA from 1 species